rnacentral:rRNA from 1 species
ACCUAUGACCAUAUUUCCCAGAAUGCACCAGAUCUCAUGUGAUCUUGGAAGCAAAGCAGGAUUGGGCCUGGUUAGUACUUGGAAGGAAGACAGAGCUGAAGAGAGUUGAAGUUU